GCUCCACAGCAGCGGCAUCGUCAUCGGCAUGCCAGCACAGUAGCACACUACUCCACUCCGCGUCUAUUUAGCCAUCAGUACUGACCAGCCCAGGCGCACAGGAGGCCGCAGGCUGGAACCGGAAGCUCCCAAGAAAGCUCUAGCCCAAGCUCCGGCCGGCAUCGAUGGCGCCCAGCAAGCUCGCAGUGGCCGUCGCCUUGGUGGCGACUCUCCUCCUUCUCAGCAACAGCAACAUCGAGGCUGCUCCCGGCGGCGGCUACCCGCCGGCUCCCCCCGUCGGGCCUCCGCCGCACCAGAUCGUCGACCCCGCCAAAGACUGCGGCGGCGCCUGCGACGUGCGGUGCGGCGCGCACUCGCGCAAGAACCGGUGCACCCGGGCGUGCCUCACGUGCUGCAAAGCCUGCCGCUGCGUGCCGGCGGGCACGGCCGGCAACCAGGAGACCUGCGGCAAGUGCUACACUGACUGGACCACGCACGGCAACAGGACCAAGUGCCCGUGAGCGGCGGCGCCGUGUUCGGUGUUCCCCGGCCGAGAGCAGCCAGAGAGAGGUUGCUGGCGCACUACCGGCGCCGUGUCUUGUACUUGAUCCAUCGGCUUUAGAUGUAGGAUGCGUGCUCUGUUGUUUCUUCUUUCUCAUGUUGAUGGGCUGGUUGUGACUGCGUCCCUGUGUAGUAAAAAAGAAGAAGAGUGCGAGGCGUUUCUCUAGCCGUAAAAUCCAUUUGGGUUGUAUUACCUGUCUAUCUUCUGUUGAUCGUUGUUCUGCAAAUACCUAAUCCUACAAUGCCAAAGAAAGACUGUCCUCGCGCAGAUUAUAAUUUU